rnacentral:pre_miRNA from 1 species
AGCUCUUCAAACGGUAGCUCUGUGGUUACCUGAUCAAAGCUGCCAGAUGAAGAGCUGU